UCAUUUCUAGAGCUGCCUCAGCUACCAGCAGUGGCAGGGGUGGCUGUGUUGUCCCAGCACUGCCCACCUUGCAAGGAUGCAAGCUUUGGUGCUGCAGCAGCUCCCUGACAGCUCUGAGAACCCCAGCACCCAAAACAAUUUGCAGGGAAACCUCUCUUGGCCUUGCAGCUUGCAAUGGGCAUGCAGUCAACCUGCAGCAAGGAAAAGGUGGGAAGCUUGCUCCAAGCAACAGCCUGAUUCCUGAGAUCCUGCAGAGAGCUGGUUCCUUGGAAAGAAGAGCUACACCUGACAGUCCUGGACUUCAUUGAAGCUGGGAGUAUUCUGGUCAAGUACUGCAAGAAAGCACAGCAGAUCCUACAAUUCAGGUGCCUGCUGCUAUCCUUCUGAAAUGAUGCUCUUGUGUAUCAUGUACAAAGCAGACUUUAAAUCAGAAGAUAAUUUCAGUGCUUACCAGAUGGAAUUUGGGAGGCACAAUGAGGGCAGGUGAAAAGCUAGAAAGCCCCAGUGGCAGGGAUUUUGUGGAGCUUUUGAACCAACUUUCCAUCACUACAACUUGCUGCACAGUUAAAGCUUGUCACCAGCAAUGGAACUACAGAAAGAUAAAGUGAGAGACUCCAGUGGGAAACCUGAAGGUGGAGGGGAAGGCUGUUCAGCACCACUUGAGAAGCCAGGAAAUUCAGUUGCUGCAGUUCUGAACAAUUUUCUCAUCUCUGCCAUGUCAGGUGGGUGUUAAUGCUUCCACGUUGUUACCAGCACAGGGAUUUGCUGUGAAGAAAGAAGGAAAGUGUGACAGCAGCACAGGCAGGUGUCAGCAGCAGAGGGCCAGGUGGUGCAGGGUGGUGCUGGAGGGGUCCUGCCUCCACAUCUGUCAUCACCCAGGCUGCAGGACAGGUGAGAGGAGAAAUACAAAUAGCCAUGAAAGCAGUAAAGUAAACUAUUUAUAUGGAAGGUCAAAGCUGCUUUAUUGUUUUUAUCAGCUAGAUUAGGGUGAAAAAUGAGAAAUGCUGGGAGUGUUCCUGCAAAUGUUGCACAGCUCUGGGGCUGUGAACUACACACAACAGCCAGGCCACCAAGCCUGCCAGAGUUCAAGGAGAGUCUGGAGAAUGCUCUCAGGCUUGUGGUGGGAAUUUUGGGGGUGCUGUGCAGGGCCAGGAGCUGGACUGACAUUCUCUGUAUGUCCUUUCCAGCUCAGGACGCUCUACGACUCUCUGACUUGGUGAGUGGUGAAUUACCCACGUGUUUCCUGGGCUUGUGGGCUUAGCCUGGAAUGUUAAAUGGCUGUGGCAGAACUUCCUUAGCACAGAUAGCUGCUUUGUGUCCUCAGUAGCUUUUCCAAGCAGCACUUCUUCCUUUCCCACCUUCUCUCUGCGGGCUCUGAGGCUGCUGAACAGAUCUAAGCACACAGUUUUUUAAUGUGUCUCAGGAGUUGGCUUAGUCAUUUAAUGAUUUUGUGUAUCUAUAGCUCUUUUCCUGUCCUAGAUGCCCUCUCUCUCCAAAGCCUCUGCAUGGCACAAAGGUGCCUCUGGAAAGAAAGUGAUUGUCACCUAAAACCUCCUUGGGAUCAGUGACCUGCCAAUCAGGUACUAUCCAUGAUGUGGGUGAUUCUGAAUAUCAACACAGCUCACCUAGCACCUCCCAUCCUGCAGUUAAGAAGUGCCAGCAGGGAUGAAGGAUAAAUAAGGGUGUCAUUAAGCUAAUGAGAUCCAUAUGCUUGUGCAGUCAAAGAAAAGUGAACUAAAUGCAUUCAAGAGCCAAAGAGCAGAUGAAUGAACCACGACAGACAUCCUAAAUCAUGUUUAAAAGGCAAAUAUUGAUAUUUCUCACGCUUUUCUCCUGUAUGCAAAUCACAUCUCAAUAAGGCAUCUGGUAGAAGAGAACAUAUUUUGCCUUUGAGCUCAGAUGCAAACGACGCAAACCCAACUUGAGAGAGUAGCUGGAGGCUGCCAUGAUUCCUGGAGACCACAGACACUUGGGAGUCACAAACCAGACUUGCCAUCAUGAUAGAUGCUGAGCCUGAAAGUCAUUUAUAUGCAAAUCUGCACAAAUUAAUUGGAGGGGGUUUUUUUCCUAAAAAUGCAAACCACACAUUUUUCUCCUGGGAUCAAACUGCAAAUGUUGGUUUUGGGGAAUCCAGAAAUAGUUGCAGUCAGAAAGCACUUCAGUACCAGAGAAAUUAUAUUCUUUCUUCUGUUUCCAUGUUACUUGUACAGAAGGGAAAAAAGAGAAUCCAACCAGCAUUAAUGAGCUUGCUAUUAUUUUUCAGUAAAGGUGUAACUCGGAGAAUUUUCACAUUGCAAUGCACUUGCUCUCUAUUGCUGCUGGAACUGACAUUUAUUGUGUUGCAAGGUCAGUAAGAUCAGCCCACCUUUCUCCAUCAGUGACAUAAUUUAAUUGGGCAAAUUAUGUCUCGUACAUAGUGGUGGCAGAGGGCUUCGAGCUUCAGGCUCCCCUCCUGAGAAAAUGCCCAAAUCCCUCUCCUUGCCUUUAAUGUGCUGCUUUGAGUGCACAGAGCUCCCAGCUGAGUUGGUGUGGGGUGGAGGAGCUACUCUGCCUGUGAGAAGCUGUCACUGCACCAGGCAUGGUUGUCACAGCACAGGCACAUGGCUGCUGCUGCUUGUGAUUAAGGUUUGAAUUGUGAAUUUAGGGCGAAUAGGCUUUAAGGUCUCUUCCAACACCAGACAUUCUGUGGUUCUGUGAUUCUGCAAUAUAUCACAUGCCUGGGCUAGGGGAGCAAGCUGAGGCUGCUAAAUAAUGUUUGGCUUAAGGGCAGUCAGAUGUGUUUUCUUAUCUGAUAUCCUUCUCAUAUAUAUGUGUUUUUGCCUUGUGAUGAUAUUCUUAUUUUUCUCACCACCCUUUCAGGGAACAGGAAGAAAAGAGACACCCUUUCCCUUGGCUUCCUCGACUAUCUUCCUGAAAGGCCAAAAGCUGUGGAUGCUCAUCAGAUUGAGUUCACCUGCCUCAGUGCUGGAGGGCUGAGCAGGGCAGCACGUGUGGACACACUGUCACAAACAGACUCUACACCAGCACCCAUAGCAAGAGAUGGAAAUGUCUGGAAAUAACAUUUGUGGGUUUCAGCCAAGCAAAGAUUUUCAUAAAACACAGUUUCAGGCUGGUAGCCCAGAGCUUCCAGACUUCCUGCAUGUUGGAGUGGGAAGGUAGAGCUUUAAAGCUGUAAAAUGAUGAUAACUGAACCCAAAAUGGAGAAAUUGAGUGUAGAAAGCACUGGCUGGUUAGCACCAGCUAGGGACUUGCCUCCCAGCUCCUCUGAAUGAUCUGAUUACACAAGUAGUUGUUGUGGUUUGUGUUUGUUUUGUUUCUAUCCCUGCUGUUCUGGGAUUUGACCACAUUGCAACAUCUCCAGCUCGGUGCCUGCUGCAAAGGGCUCCUCGUGGUCCACAGCACUCCUCUAAUCACUGAAAUAUGACCCAGCUCGUGGGAUUGGGGCCGGUGCUCCAAGUGUGACCUCAGUGCUGCUUAUCAGACUCUUCUGCAGCCAGGCGUGGCACUGUCCCGUGCUGGCGGCGCUGCCAGGCGAUUAAUUAAUGCGCUAAUGACACUCCCUGCCCUCGCUUCACAUGGUAAAGGCAUCAAGAGAUCACAACAGUUCUCCUUGGCAGGUGAAAGGAAAUCCCUCUCCUCCAGAUUAAGUGAAUUAAGAUGAGAGUGACAUUCCUGCUUCACGAGGAGUACAGCAAAGGCUUUUUUAUGGCUCAGGAUAGAGCAGAAUAGUUGCAUUUUCCCUUUUCUUCUCACUCACCCAAAAGGUUUAGUUUGGGAGCUCAUAAUAACCAGCCUCAUGAAGUGUACCAUAUGUUUUAGGCUUUUUUUAAUUACUGUAGCCUUUACAGCCCCAGCUAAAUGUCAUACUUGGUGCUUUGUUUUACAAUUAAAUCUCUCCUUUGGGGAGUUCCUAAAAUCUUUUUCUCUCGUUGUCUGUGAAGUGUAAAGUAGAACUGCAAAUUUACAUUACUCUGGGCAAACAACAGUUCUGCUUAGAAAAUAAACUUUAAAGUGUUAUUAUAUGAAGAUGCUUUUUAUUAAAUGCUGUGUUGGUGCCACAUAACAAGAAUGCAGGCGAUAAAGGAUAUUUCCACUCUCUCUUCAUUGCCUUGCAUAAGGCAAACUGUUGUUUUAUAAUUUGAAG